GCUGUUGUAGCUCAGUUGGUAGAGCGCAUCCUUGGUAAGGAUGAGGUUCGGCAGUUCGAAUCUGCUCAACAGCU
rnacentral:tRNA from 1 species